UACGUAGGUGGCGAGCGUUGUCCGGAUUUACUGGGCGUAAAGAGCGCGCAGGCGGUCCCUUAAGUCUGAUGUGAAAGCCCACGGCUCAACCGUGGAGGGUCAUUGGAAACUGGGGGACUUGAGUACGGAAGAGGAAAGCGGAAUUCCACGUGUAGCGGUGAAAUGCGCAGAUAUCAGGAGGAACACCGGUGGCGAAGGCGGGUCUCUGGGCCGAUACUGACGCUGAGGAGCGAAAGCGUGGGGAGCGAACAGG
rnacentral:rRNA from 1 species